UUUGCAACCGCCUGGGACGCCGCCGAGUGGUCUGUGCAGGUUCGCGGGUCGCUGGCGGGGGUCGUGAGGGAGUGCGCCGGGAGCGGAGAUAUGGGGUCUGUGGUGAGCCAUAACCGGAGUCUGUGGACUGAACGGCGGGAGUCUAUGGGCAGAAUGAUGAACCAUCUGGGAGUUCUAUGGAGGGAGAUGGUUCAGACCCAGAGCCUCCAGAUGCCGGGGAGGACAGCAAGUCCGAGAAUGGGGAGAAUGCGCCCAUCUACUGCAUCUGCCGCAAACCGGACAUCAACUGCUUCAUGAUCGGGUGUGACAACUGCAAUGAGUGGUUCCAUGGGGACUGCAUCCGGAUCACUGAGAAGAUGGCCAAGGCCAUCCGGGAGUGGUACUGUCGGGAGUGCAGAGAGAAAGACCCCAAGCUAGAGAUUCGCUAUCGGCACAAGAAGUCACGGGAGCGGGAUGGCAAUGAGCGGGACAGCAGU
rnacentral:lncRNA from 1 species